rnacentral:lncRNA from 1 species
GAAGAGCUAGGAGAGACCAGCGGGCGGUAGCUGCGGCGAGUGGCCUCUCCGUGCGGCACAGAGGCAAGAAGCAGCCAUCCAUCCAGAAGCAGCCUCCGUGUUCCGUUUGUCCGGAUGUCAUCGUAGGUGGCCGGCAUCUCUGGCUUUGGGGCAGACAUCCUGCACUACAUUCCAGAUCUGAUGAGGCAUGGCUGCCCCAGGAUUACUGGGCUCGGACGGGAGCAGUGGUAGGAAGGAUCCUAUAUAAGUCAUGUGAGACAUAGAAUGUUCAGAUCAACUGAAGCUGAAACAAGCCUUUGGCAUCAUAUAUAACCCAGAAAGGGACAAAGCUGCAGGUUCCUUGAAUGCUUGGUUUAUGUGCCUGGCUGGAGGAGACACCCAUGGCCUUGCAGAGGGAGCGUUCUGGUGGGAAAGCAGACACAACCCACCCUAGGCCCGUGGUUUCCCUGCAAGAAGCCCAGUGGCUUUCUGGAGGACACUUUUCCUGGAGGAAGUGACUCAAGAGCAGCAUAAGCCAGGCUCUAUGGAAUGUUGGGUGAGCUGCUUGAGGAACUCCAAGGCCUGUCCCACAGUCUUCCAGCCUCCGACUCUCCGGCCCUCAGCGAGGAAGUCCCACUGGUUUUUUUGGUUGGUUUUUUUUUUUUUUUUUAAGGUUUUUUGGUUUUUUUUUUUUUUUCUCAUUCCUGUCUUGGGAGCUUUCCCCAACCAGGAGAGUGAAGAUGGGCGGAGCUGUCACACCAACUGUUAGCCUGCCUUGGCUGAGAGGAGAGGAGGCGAGGAGGGAGCGACCACCCAGCUUUAGUCGUUUUAAAACAGCUCCUGACCCUAGAAGAAGGGAAAUGGAGAUGAAGACCCAAUUGACUUGAGAGAGUGAUCUUUCAGCAGACUGAUCGAACACACAGGCUUCUCAGCCCACUCCCUCCAGUCAAGGUUAAGGCCUGGCAAAGGUGGAGGAAGAGAAGCUGAGGAGAAAAAGGCGAGGAGAGCCUAGGCACAGGAAGGCUUCCCUCCCUCCCAGUGCUGAUUUCCUGUGGACCAGAUUCCAGCACAGUGGAGGGCCAGAGCUCAGGGAACAGACCCAGCAGCACAGCAAGUCUCCAAGGAAAGCUCUAGCAGUCUCCAGGGGCUGAAGGCAGGACUGGGGAAGCGGCUAGCCAGGCUGCAGAAGGCAAAUGCUCCCAGACGGCUGUCCAGCACGCAUCCGCCUUCCUAGCCAAGUUUCCUGGGCUCCUGCCACAGAUCUAAGCCUCAUCCUGACAUCCUGCCCUCUGUGCUCUGGGAUGGCCCAGGGGAGAUGCUUAGCCUUGGCUCCUUGUCUGCUGGUGGAGGGGACACACACCCUUUCUGGACCACAGACCAAAAAGAAGACCUGACGUCAUCCUGAGCACCCCCGCCAUGCAGAGUGUGUUCGCAGACUGCCAACGGGCUGGCUCCGGCCAGCAGAAGUGAACAGAGGUGGAGGUUCAGCCUGACAGCUUCUCCCCAAAGCCAUGGAGAGAAAACCUUACCACCCCCACCGCCCAGCUACUUCCAGCAAGUUGUCCAGCCUGACCCCUCUAUUUCCCCUGUUGUCUCUUAUCUGGGUCCCUGAGACCCACCCCAUCUCCAAUAAAGAACAUUGCAUACUGUGCA